UACAGGGGGUGCAAACGUUGCUCGGAAUCAUUGGGCGUAAAGCGCACGUAGGCGGUUCGUUAUGUCGGAUGUGAAAGCCCUUGGCUUAACCGAGGAAGUGCAUCCGAAACUGGCGAGCUAGAGUACGAAAGAGGAUCGCGGAAUUCCCGGUGUAGAGGUGAAAUUCGUAGAUAUCGGGAGGAACACCGUGGCGAGGACGGCGAUCUGGUGCCGAUACUGACGCUGAGGUGACGAAGCGGUGGGAGCAAACAGG
rnacentral:rRNA from 1 species